ACUUCGACUUCCAGUGUUACUAGGAGGGCUAUGCUUUAGCUUUAGAUGUCUAUACUACUUCU
rnacentral:tRNA from 1 species